rnacentral:rRNA from 1 species
AUGAACGCUGACAGAAUGCUUAACGCAUGCAAGUCUUUGGCGAAGCUGUGCUUGCACAGCCUAGCCAAGGCGGACGGGUGAGUAACGCGUAAGGAACUUGCCCUGCAGUCAGGGAUAACAGACGGAAACGACUGAUAAGACCUGGUAAAGUCAGGCGGACUCAUGUCCAGCCUGAUGAAAAGAGAUGCUGCAGGAGAGCCUUGCGUCCUAUUAGCUUGUUGGUGGGGUAACGGCCCACCAAGGCGAUGAUAGGUAGCCGGCCUGAGAGGGUGGACGGCCACAAGGGGACUGAGAUACGGCCCUUACUCCUACGGGAGGCAGCAGUGGGGAAUAUUGGACAAUGGGGGCAACCCUGAUCCAGCAAUUCUGUGUGCACGAUGAAGGUUUUCGGAUUGUAAAGUGCUUUCAGCAGGGAAGAAAAAAAUGACGGUACCUGCAGAAGAAGCGACGGCUAAAUACGUG